rnacentral:tRNA from 1 species
GCGGAUAUGGUGAAACUGGUAGACACGCUAGGUUUAGGUUCUAGUGCCGCGAGGCAUGGGGGUUCAAGUCCCUCUAUCCGCACCA